rnacentral:tRNA from 2 species
UAACGACUAGCUCAGUGGGUAGAGCACCAGACCAAGAAUCUGGCUGUCAUGGGUUCGACUCCCAUGUCGUUUGCCA